GCAUGUCCCAGCAGGAUGUCCACAGGAAGCUGCACAAGUAUGUGCCAGCUGCAGCAGGGAUGCCCUAUUUCACAGGUACCUGGCUGCUAGCUGAAGCUCUUGGGAUGUCAAGGUAUGGAUUAACCCCUGUCCUGUCUGAGACAGGCCUUUGGAAUGCCCAGGAAAAGGGCAAAAUGAAAAUGCUGCAGUUUAUCUGCAGCCCAGGGUGUGUCCAUGUCUCAGAUGCUCUGGGUUCUCCAGAGCCAAAGAGCACCAAGGAUUUUCAGAGGUCUGGGAUGGUUUCUACACCGUGAACAGGGUAGGUAUGUUUGACCUUGAGAGGGCAGAUGUGAGUAGGCAAGGAGGAACUGUCUUUCACUCAGUUAAGCUCUUGGGUGUCCUGUUAGAAAGGAAGCAAGGGGAGCUGGUUUCUUUCCACAGAGCCGAACUGAGAGGAGGAAGUCUCCACUGCAGGAUAUUGAGGUUUGCAGGAGUUCAAAAAGGAAUACCUUGAAGAAAAAGCCAUCAAGGGCUAUUAGAUGGAGACACCAUGUCUGGCUCAAGGAACGCUGAUCACUGAAACCUGGGAGAGGUUUCAGAGAGAACUGCACCUUUUCUCAGUUCUCUCUUCCUUAAGCACAAUUUCUUCUUCAUUGUGGCUUUUUUUUUCCCCCUUAAUUUUGUUCAAAGCUCCUUGGGGAACGAGGAAACAGAUAAUAUGUGGAGCACAUGCUGUUCCAGGGUUAUAAUGCUUUACUGCUCACUGGCAGUAAGAUGACCUGUGACAGCCUGAGAGGAGGGCAGAUUGUCCUGUUUUAUAGCCUCCUUUGUCUCCCUGCAGCUCUCAGUACUGCUCAGUCAUUAAAGAAGUGACCCUGAAAAGUGUUGGCUGAGGACGAGGUUUGCUGUUGCUUCCUGCACGAGUGGCUUCAGCAUGUGCUUCACACCACAGUGGGCUGCACUGUCGCCCCAGGCCUGCAGCAAAGUAGGGGACACUCAGCUGCUCAGGGAUGGGUUGCUCACCUUCCUUGGCCCUGCCCUGCAGCAGUGGGGAACAGUAGCACACCACACUUCUCUAAAUACCAUGUCCAGGAUACGCUGACCUCAUGGACCUGCCUGGCAGGAGACACCUCAGUGAAGAAAGCUGUCUCACAGAGCCCUGGGUGCCUGCAGUCCUGGGGAGAUGCUUGUUGGUGCAGGCUGGCGGUGAUUUUUCCUUCCUGCUCUCAGUGUGGAAAGAUCAGAACCCCAGAGCCAGGACUCACGGAUAACUGGCAGAGCCUGGGAGAGCAGAACAAGGCAGGACCUUCCUGCAGCCUUCUGCUGCUCCCCAGUGGCGGCGUGGAGAGGCACCACGGGCGGUUCCUGAAGGGGGAAGCCAGAACGGGAGACGGUGAAGGAACUGUCGCAUCUCUAAGUGGAGGUCGUGAUUUCUUUCUCCAUCUUCCCCAGAACUCACAGUUAAUUCUCAGCGGGCAGGGGAACAGUAGGGUGACAAGGAUGUGGGGGAGAUAUAAUCACAAGCCUAGAGUUUUUUGAAAAGAAGCAAACACUUUUGGAACCUUUGAGGACAGCAGACAAUACUUUGUGGGUUUAUUUCUCCAAAUCAGUGAAAGCAUAAAACUGUCUCGAUUUCCUUAUCCUGAUAAUUCACUUGCUUCUUAAAAUGAUCUUCCUCCCCGGUUGUGUUCUGAAAUAAAAAGCAUGAAGACAAACA
ensembl:lncRNA